GAGAAAUUAGUUAAAAUAUAACAUUAGUAUGUCAUACUAAAAUUAUUAACAAAUUAAUAUUUCUCU
rnacentral:tRNA from 1 species